rnacentral:tRNA from 1 species
GCCUGGCUGGCUCAGUCAGAAGAGCAUGUGACUCUUAAUCUCGGGGUUGUGGGUUUGAGCCCCACUGGGUG